AACGUAGGACACAAGCGUUAUCCGGAGUUACUGGGCGUAAAGGGCGUGUAGGCGGAGGUGUAAGUCUAUUCUGAAAGCUCCUGGCUAAACUGGGAGAGGCGAAUGGAGACUGCAUAUCUAGAGUGAGGAAGAGGAAAGUGGAAUUCCGCGUGUAGUGGUGAAAUGCGUAGAGAUGCGGAGGAACACCAGUGGCGAAAGCGACUCACUGGACCAUAACUGACGCUGAUGCACGAAAGCUGGGGGGAGCAAACAGG
rnacentral:rRNA from 1 species